AAGUAGCUGGCCUGAGAGGAUGAUCAGCCACACUGGAACUGAAACACGGUCCAGACUCUACGGGAGGCAGCAGUGGGGAAUAUUGCGCAAUGGGCGAAAGCCUGACGCAGCAACGCCGUGUGAGGGAUGAAGGCUUUCGGGUCGUAAACCUCUGUCGGAAGGGAAGAACGGGCAUUGGUCUAAUAGGCCUUUGUUUUGACGGUACCUUUAGAGGAAGCACCGGCUAACUCCGUGCCAGCAGCCGCGGUAAUACGGAGGGUGCAAGCGUUAUUCGGAAUUACUGGGCGUAAAGCGCACGUAGGCGGCUUCGUAAGUCAGGGGUGAAAUCCCACGGCUCAACCGUGGAACUGCCUUUGAAACUGCAAAGCUUGAAUCCUGGAGAGGGUGGCGGAAUUCCUGGUGUAGGAGUGAAAUCCGUAGAUAUCAGGAGGAACACCGGUGGCGAAGGCGGCCACCUGGACAGGCAUUGACGCUGAGGUGCGAAAGUGUGGGGAGCAAACAGGAUUAGAUACCCUGGUAGUCCACACCGUAAACGAUGGAUACUAGGUGUCGGGGACUUGAUCUUCGGUGCCGUAGCUAACGCGUUAAGUAUCCCGCCUCGGGAGUACGGUCGCAAGGCUGAAACUCAAAGAAAUUGACG
rnacentral:rRNA from 1 species